UGGCUCAAAACAACACUUGCAUUACAUAUUAAUUUAAUAAAAUCCAACUCUUGCCCCACAAGUCCAGGGUCGAUCGUCUUACAACAUUACUAUCGAGUCUAACUUUAUUACAUAAAGGGAAGUCUGAUUUCAGACCAUUAUAAUAACUAUAGCUCGUACUAUCAAGCGGCGUAGUCUAGCAGUCUCAGCUUGGGUGAUGCGCCUUUACCCUGCCUUUGCCAAAAACCCAUUUCCGGGCGGUUCUCUUGAGUUGUGCCAUACUCACUAUUUACUGCUCAAAAAGGAGUAAAAUAGAUGCAAGAAUGAGCAAUCAAAUUGCUCAGCAAGUCCACAAAGAACACAACAACAAUCAACAGAAGGUGCACGUAAGGCAUAGAAAACAAUUCAAGUCAAAGCAACAAAGCAGCUACCGUCAAAUGACAACACAAGUUCAAGUAAAGAAAACGCUGGUCUUCCACCUUUCGGUAACACUACAUGGCUCGAUCAGCACCAUUUCGUGAAUACCGUUCUCCUGUGUGAUCUUUGCAGUUUGAUCGUAACCGCACAAGACACACCUACCACUCUCAUUUGCUAGCAUAAGGGUUAACAUUUGUAACCCUAGACUAUCCACACACAGUAGAUAGUCAAAGAAAUCAUCAUCUCUUCCACGAAUUUAAUAAAUUCGUGUUGACCAGCUUAAACAGAUUACUCCGAAUACAAGGAAAUUCUCACAAACAAACACUUCUCAAUCAAUACUACUCAUCUCUACCAAAGAAGUGCGAACAAUGCACCCUUUCAACAAGGAUUACCCGAAGGUAGAAGUGAAUAAUAAUUAAAAGAUUUAAAUUCCAAAGAAUGAGAUGAUCUCCAAAAAGAGAGUAAGUUAAUUGUGGUGAGAUCAUCGCUGCAAUGUAUUCACUUCAAGUUCCGAAGAUUCCGAAUAUUAUCGUUAUUAGGAUCAGCUCAUUCCCGUACAAUGGGAGUGCUCGAAUUAGAAGAAGUAAUGUAUGAACAAUAUUUCUAGAGUCUUCAAAUGGAACGUAGAUAUCUUCUGGAUUCACAAUGGUACGAAAUGUAAUAUCUUCAUAAUCAACACUUUUCACACAAUUAUCAAAUAGGCAUGAAAACCUUCACGUCAAGAGGGGGAUAGUGAACUUGCCUGACGUCCUUAGCUUGAAAAUAUUCCAAUUUAUCACGUAUAAUCAGGCUUCGCCUUUCCAGACAAUAAAUAUUCUAUAUCACACAAAAUGAUAAAUUUAGUAUUCCCAUAAAAUAAUGAUCUUGACUGAUUUAUUAUAAAAUCUAUAUAACUCCUCAUUUACUAAUAUCAUGAGUUUUAAUCGAUUAUCUAACUCUUUACAUUACUCGUACUUCACCAAAAUGUUAUACCAUAACUUUCCCACUUUACACAAGUAUAAAAUUUGGAUUAUUGUAACUACAUUAAAGUUAUAUAAUACCCGAUUCCUUUUUAUUAUUCUCUUUCUUUGAUUAUUAAUUAAUAACCCAAUUAAACCUGUAAACAUACAGAAUUUCAUUAUUUAUUACCACGGUCUCCAUUAACAUUUGAAUGAUUAUUCCCCUAAUAUUAAAUUCCUUCACUAUCUAAACAAUUCAACUCAUUUCUUAUUAAAUUCUUAAACACCAAUUAGAAUCUCAUUUUCUUUUUAAUUAUGCCUCUAAACAUUCUUUUUAUCUCCAUUUUAAUCUCUCAAUACAAUAAAUCUAAAAUAACUUCCAACUUACUCUAUUUACCUCUCUUUUUGGUAUAAAACCAAAUUCUUUAUUUAUAACUCUAAAUUAUAUAAUUUAUUUCCUUUUAUUAAUCCAAUUACCAUAAGUAACACAUUUCUCUCCCAUUAUUAUAUAUUCACUCAAAUCCAGCCUUUUAAAUAUAAUCACCACAUUUUAUCAAUUUUAUCUAGUUUUAUUAGCAACUCACUUAUUAAUUUACCAAAAUAUUCCCACCAUCUCUCUCCCUCGUCAUCUUCCUCAACCUCCCACCUUCAUUUCUCUCGCUUCUCCCUCUCCCCUCUCUCUCUCUCUCUUUCGCGACCUCUCUCCCCUCUCCCUUCUCUCGCGAAUACACCGCCGUCACCGGCGGCGUCUCCCCGCUCCUAAGCUCUCUGCCACCACAACACACAUCAAAACACACGCACACUUUUCUCUAAAUCUCUCCUCUGUCAACCUCGACGCUGCCGAGGGUCUCCGUCGGCGAUGCCGACGCGAAAACUCCGGCCAGCUCCACUACCCGCCUACCGCUCCGAUUCCAACAACAAAUUCAACAAUAAUCAGAAUUUUAAUCAAGAUUCAGUAUCUAUACAAGUUUAAUUGAAUUAAUAAACUCUAGCUUAUACGAUCUAAUUUAGUUUAUACAGUCUUUGUUUCUUCAAAAAUUAGGUAUAAAACACUAGACUCCAUAUUGGGUACAGUGUUGUAACUUAAGAAUAAUAAACAGAACUUAAAUUAGCAUUGCCAAUGGGGCCAAAGAAAGAAGCUUAAAUAAUGUAUAAAUAUUCAGGGGUGUACGUCCAAUUACCUUGCUUGCUUUGAGUGAAAUGACCCCAAGAUUCUCUUUCUUCUUUACUUUCCAAAUCUGGCUCAUCUCCUUUCUGAUCAAUACACUCUUUCUUUGUUUUAUGAAAUUGAGCCAACAAAGGUAUUAUUUUUGUUGGGUUUUUAUAUGCAUUCUCUAAUUACGAUUAACAUCUAAUUAUUAGAUUAAUUAAUUAUUAAGCACUUCAUUACUUGGAGGCUACUCAAUAUACUUGGCCACCAAGUUUUACAACUUGGGCUCCAAGUUCCGUCCCGCCAAUUGCGAUUUUAUUCGGCUCGAUUCCUAUUUUCUCGUAUCGGUUUUUAACAAAUACAAAUAAUUUAAUAGCUAAAUAUCGAUAUAAAAUAAUUAAAUAAAUAGACUUUUAAUUAUAAAAUUUUUCUGACCAAUCCCCAAUUUAUUAAAUAAUCAAGAUAAAAUAAUCAUCUCGACUAAAACGUAAUAUUUAUUCACGAAUCAGUAGAUAAAUGUAUAAUCGCGUCUACUAUAUUUUUCGCAUAAACGCAGCUCUAGCUUUAAUAUACAUAUUUAGAUUAAAAGACUGGCCGACACCAAAAUAAUAUUACGUGUUUUCUACAAUUCUCUCAGCUACGACAUUUUUAAUUAAUGACUCCCGCAUUAUAAAUUUUAUUAAAUCUGAAACUAAUAAAAAAGUCUUUUUGUAU
rnacentral:lncRNA from 1 species